rnacentral:tRNA from 1 species
UCCGGGGUAGCUCAAUGGCAGAGCAUUCGACUGUUAAUCGAAGGGUUGCGGGUUCGAGUCCCGCCCCCGGAGCC